CAAAAACUUCCAUCACUAUCAUCAUCAUUUUAAUCUCCACUUUUCCAUGGACUUAUUAAGACAAAAUUUUUGUACAACCAGAUGAUAUUUCUGUUGCCAACCCUCACCUGUUUGCAGGCAAAGUUAUAUUUAUCCAUGGCCAGCCAUAUUUUCCCAGAAUAUUGGAAAAUGACACUGCUUAUAUGACAAUGAUAUUUAUUCACAACCAUCACACAAUAUCAAGACAAGGAGACAUAAACAUACACACAAUCACCCUCAUAUAAAUGAGCAUUCACUUACUCAUGCACCCAGACCCACAUUCAUAAAUCCAAAACCACCCCACCCACACACACACAUGUAUACACAUAUGUAUAUACACGCAUACACACAAUGGGCUUUUUCCGGUUUCCAUGUACCAAAUCUACUCACAAGGCUUUCAUCAACCUGGGGCUGUAGUAGAAUGCAUGUGCCUAAGGUUCCCAAGGUGGGACUGAACCAAAAAUAAUGUGGUUGGGGUAUGAACUUCUCAACCACACUGCUAUACCUACACUUAUAACCAUGCAUGAGCCUACAUCACAUAUUUAAAAAGAAUAUGAUUUGUAUAGUUGCAGAUGUGGCUUGCUUCCCAAGAAGCUUGCUUCCCAACCACAUGGUUCCAGGUUCAAUCCCAUUGUGUGGAACUUUGGACAAGCAUCUUCUACUAUAGCCUUGGGCUGACCAAAGCCUUGUGACUGGAUUUGAUAGACAGAAAGUAAAAGAAGCCCAAUGUGUGUGUGUGUGUGUCUUUAUGUCUGUGUUUGUACCUCCAUCACUGUUUGACAACUGGUGUUGGUCUGUUUAUACCCCUGUAACUUAGCAGUUCAGCAAAAGAGAUCAAUAGAUUAAGUACUAGGCUUUUGAUUUGUUCGACUGCAUGGCUGCAGUCAAAUGACUGAAACAAAUAAAAGAAUAGCUAUUAACAUUGUCAUGACACUAAAAGCUGUGCUUCAAGGAUUUGUUUAUGUCCCAAUGCUGGCAAAUAACACCUGUUAAUACUUUCCAGGCACUGUUUUAAUAGACUUCUGUAGAUUAUAUGAAGAAAAAUUACUCUUUUUAUGGGGGAAGGAAAUUUUCCCUCUGUUUUUCUGCAAUAUUUAGAAUGCAAUUUGUCAACUGUCUCAACCCACAACACCAUGCUUACAUGGAGCUAAUUUAUAUCAAUGGAAUUUAUGCAACAGCUGCCUGUCUUUCAAAUAGGACAUUUUACAUGAUUAAUUCACGUGGGACAUGUGGAAUGUUUAACCUGGUUAAAACACUACAGAGUGAACAAUAGAUCCAUAAUCUUUGGAGCCACUGAAAGCUUGAAAAGUUCCUGGUUUUGAGUAAAAGAAAAUACCAGAGUAUCACUCUUGUAUUUAGUCAUGGCCAGCAUUAUGUGACCUUAAGUUGGACAAGAAGGAAGGAAAACUUGAAAAUUCUUUUGAAGGAAACAAGCAGUCAAAGGAUGUUAGUUGCGGAUAGACUUUUCACAAAAAAUUUAGUAAUAAAAGAAUUAUUAAACCAAAA